AUCUCUGAGGAUCUUCACCUUCUUCCCGCUUAAACUCCGGGGUUCUGAGCCUCAGAAAUUCUUGUACAGUAAUCCCCUCAUCAUCAAGAGCCCGCCUAGCCAAACUUCUUGGCACAGGUACAGGAGGUGGGAUAGAUACUACUGACGGGGUAGAAGAUUUCCCCCGAGCAAUCUGCUCCCUCAGAGCCUGAUUCUCCGCCAGUAACUGUUCCAUCAAUGCAUCUCUACUUCCUACCUCUCCUUG
rnacentral:lncRNA from 1 species